GCCACGCAUGUGCGGUUUUCGUUGACGCUUUUAGGCCACAGUUCCAAUCGCCCUUAGUGGAUAACGGCCACUGCUCGCCACCUUCUGCGCGGUUGGUCAUCCACGGCGUUCUUUCGCGAGGUGCGAAUCAUCUACACAUUCUUGAGACCAUUUCCGUGAAAUGUCCACAAUAAUAGAAGGAAAGCGAAGAUCCGUCAGGAUCCGGGAACAGCUGGCGUCCCAAACCCUUCGCGACCAAAGCGGAGGUGAAACUACGACCGCCCAGAAUGCAUCUGUUGGGAAGGCUACGCCGCCCGUGGGCGACGCCAAGAAGUGCCAAAACAGGCACCCUUGACGUAGUAAAGGGAGUUCAGAAGCUCUCGCUUCAAGAGUUUCAACAAAAACCUACGAAGACGAAAGUUCUGAAAUGGAAAGAUAUAGAGAGCAUCGUCGAGGACGAACAGAAGUGUACAGCACAGGGGGAAGGCACAAGGGAGCGGAAGGGUGAUCCACUGCGAGACAUUUCGAACGAAGACGGUCAACACUCCAGGCUGGCAACAUCGGCAAUCAAAACGAACUCCAAUCGUCUAUGCGAAACUUGCGGACAAACACUUCAGUUGCACUUGCGCUCCGCUGCGCUCAGUACACCCAUGACCCAUCACCCCAAAAAUUCAUCACGGGACAAGCGCCCGACAUAACCCUGCAACUUUGUCAACGUCAACGUUGGUCAAGGGUACGGCGGGAUCGUCAGAAAGUCGUGUGGGGUCCAAAAAGGAGAAAAUGGACUGAAA